CUGCUUCUCCUUAUGAGGCUGAUGUACCAGAGGUGGUUGCCGUGGGCCUGGCAGCUCUCAGGGCACAUUCCAUGCCCUGGAGAAGCAUCUCCGGGAGGCUCCCCCAUCCUCUAUCUACUGGACCCCGCAACAUCUCUGCAAGUUCUGCUCUGGUUGAAGGCAGAGAUGGACUGGGAAUCUGGAGAUCUGCCCCUUUGGCUUUCUGUCUCCUUAAGGCUCCUCUAUGAAACUCCCAUAGAAGCCUGUGUGAACGUCACUGGUGUGGAAAGUCUCGAAGAUUCAUUACAAGAAGCUGCUGUCUGAGAAAUGAAGCCAGGACUGGGGAGAGAUGGCCUACUGGAUCAGCCCCAGAAGAGAGAUGGCUCUGUCAUUCACUGAGAAAGGAGAUGAAGAAGAGGGAUGAAGCAGAGGAAGAAGAUGGAGAGGAGGAUGAGGAAGGCCAUGAGGAGAAGGA